CGGGCGGUGCUGUGACUCUAUGGGAGAGUCACUCACAGUUAGGCGUGUUCACUUCACUGUCAGUUCUCCACCGGACAAACACAGCUUAACGCUUUCUCACAGACGAAGCUGGAUCUGCCUCCGUCGCUACUUCUUUCUGAAUUUUCUAAGCGCUGAAGCAGUUUUCGAAGUGCAUCUGACUGGCGAUUUGGCUCUUGGCGUCAGACAGAACUACUAACCGGGUGCUACACACCUCAAGAUAUUAAGUGUUAUUCAGAG